UGGUGGGUUUUUUUGGGUGGUUUUUAGGUGUUUUUUGAGUAAUUUUUAGGUGGUUUUAGGGUCAUUUUUGGGUGAAUUGUAGGUGGGUUUUUUAGUAGUAACUUCUCAUUCAUCCAUGUGCAUUAUGGAUCAGAUCUGCAAAGACACUAAACACUGAGGAACAGGAAGAAAAGAGUUCAAACUGGGCUGAAUUUAAUACAGACAUUUCAGGUUGUACACAUUUGUCCAGAUUAUUCACAUUUU